AAAUUAAAGAAAGAUCAACUGAGUUUUCCUUAUAAAAAAGAAGAAAAAGAAAUUUUUCACAAAAAGUUUCGAACCCCGGGCCCUCAACUUGAAAGGCAAAAGUGUUGCCGGCUGCGCCAACCAGCACCACUUUUCAAAAUGCAACAGGAGGCAUACAGAAAACUGCCGUCAACUUUUGAAAAGCAAGAAAAAGUCUGAAAUCCGCUCUAAAACGAGUUGAA
ensembl:ncRNA Y69A2AR.38 ncRNA